UCUUAUCAAGAGAAGCGAAGGGAUUAGGCCCGUUGAAGCUUCAGCAACCUCUGUUAUACAGAAAGGUGCUAACUCCUACAAGACAUUAUCUUGGAAGAUAAGA
rnacentral:ncRNA from 1 species